UAAGAACUGGGAGUAACUUCGGGAAACCGUAGAGCUAAUACCGGAUAAUAUAUUGAACCGCAUGGUUCAAUAGUGAAAGACGGUUUUGCUGUCACUUAUAGAUGGAUCCGCGCCGCAUUAGCUAGUUGGUAAGGUAACGGCUUACCAAGGCAACGAUGCGUAGCCGACCUGAGAGGGUGAUCGGCCACACUGGAACUGAGACACGGUCCAGACUCCUACGGGAGGCAGCAGUC
rnacentral:rRNA from 1 species